rnacentral:lncRNA from 1 species
UUGUCAAGUAGGGCUUUUUUCAUACUUAAUUUGGAAAAUUUCCUACUUGAAAUAUUUUUUAACGUACUUACAACUCAUUUUCAUACUUGCAAGCACUAUCUUUUUUAAAUAUCAAGUAGUUUAGGGAGUUGUAAGUAUGUUCAACUAUUUGUAAGUAUUGUAAAUUUGUAAGUAUAUUGGACGAACAUACUUAUACCUAUUUUUCAUACUUAUUUUCGUCGUAUACAUACUUAAACAGCUAAUAACAUACUUGUACUUUGUACUUGUACUUUUGCUCACUUUUGAAAUUUGAUUGAGCUUAGCCUAUAUAUAUCGACUACUGGAUUCAACUUGUUAGUCGACGAGGCUAGUGAUCCCACGUCCAUUGAAGAUGUUGUUAUUGCUAGUAGUAACACAACUGAUGGCGUCAGGGCUGGUCUUGAACAAUCAUCAGCUGAAGAUAGGCAUGAUUUUGAUCACGAACAACAACCCCAACAUUUUGGCCAGCAAAAUUUGGUUCCUGCUGCUCAUCGUGAAAUUGAAUCCCUCCUUUUCACUCAUGGUGCUGCGUUUAGUGAAUUUGAAUGGGAGGCUGGCUUGCUACUUAUGUUGCGACAAAGAUAUUUCCUGACCUACGAGGCCCUGCUCUUUGUUUCUCAGUCCAUCCAUGAGCAUUAUUCAAGAAAUAUGGCCAUCGUUCAGGAAAAAUUUGCUGCCCUAUUUAUAUCUACUGAAGGAACUGGUAGUACCGAGUUUAAAGCAGCUUUCCUGUAAAUCAUUUUUGU